AACCAAAUACCAAUUAUAUAACCCAAAAACUACAAGGAUACAAUAAACUGAUAGCACUACCCAAAACUAACCCAAGCCUAGUUAAAACCUGUUUUGACUAUGGACUACUAAAUACCAUAUACACCCAAGACGGAGAAGAGCUAACAGCUAUGGAGGAAUUAUACAAGAUAUUCACUACCUACAAAAGAAUAAAAAAAGGAAAUUUAUUUUAUAUAAAGUGUUAUACUGCACCAGCAGAGAUAUUAUAUGAUGAAAUAAAAAUAUACCCACGACGGAGAAGAGCUAACAGCUAUGGAGGAAUUAUACAAGAUAUUCACUACCUAUAAAAGAAUAACAAAAGGAAAUUUAUUUUAUAUAAAGUGUUAUACUGCACCAGCAGAGAUAUUAUAUGACGAAAUAAAACCAGUUAUACAAGUUGUAAAGAUAGGACUAACAAGAGAUAUGAUUAUACCAGAAGAUAUUUCGCAACAACCGGAGAUACCUAGGAUCGAGAUACCAGAUUUUUAUGCAAAUAAAAGACUUAUUGGACUAGCUACGAUCAUUCAAGAACUAGCAAAUAAUUUUAUGAACGGAAACCCAAUAUGGAGCUACUAUUCAAGAGAUCAUCAAAU
rnacentral:lncRNA from 1 species